rnacentral:tRNA from 1 species
CGGGAUUUAGCGCAGUUUGGUAGCGCGCCUGCCUUGGGAGCAGGAAGCCGGGGGUUCAAAUCCCUCAAUCCCGACCA